rnacentral:rRNA from 1 species
UCGAGAAUCUUCCACAAUGGGCGAAAGCCUGAUGGAGCGACGUCGCGUGCGGGAAGAAGACCUUAGGGUUGUAAACCGCUUUUAUAGGGGAUGAAGUUAUUGACAGUACCCUAUGAAUAAGAAGGGGCUAAUCACGUGCCAGCAGCAGCGGUAAUACGUGACCUUCAAGCGUUAUCCGGAUUCACUGGGCGUAAAGAGUCUUAAGGCGGUUCGGAAAGUCUUUGAUAAAAUCUUAGAGCUCAACUUUAAGUCCAUUGAAGAUACUUCCAAACUCGAGGGUGCUAGAAGUAAGCGGAACGUACGGUGUAGGGGUGAAAUCCGUUGAUAUCGUACGGAACACCAAAAGCGAAGGCAGCUUACUAGGGCAACUCUGACGCUGAUUGACGAAAGCGUGGGCAUGGAAAAGG